rnacentral:rRNA from 1 species
AGCAUAUCAAUAAGCGGAGGAAAAGAAACCAACAGGGAUUGCCCCAGUAACGGCGAGUGAAGCGGCAACAGCUCAAAUUUGAAAUCUGGCCCCCAGGGUCCGAGUUGUAAUUUGCAGAGGAUGCUUUUGGCAAGGUGCCUUCCGAGUUCCCUGGAACGGGACGCCAUAGAGGGUGAGAGCCCCGUCUGGUUGGAUACCGAGCCUCUGUAAAGCUCCUUCGACGAGUCGAGUAGUUUGGGAAUGCUGCUCUAAAUGGGAGGUAUAUGUCUUCUAAAGCUAAAUAUUGGCCAGAGACCGAUAGCGCACAAGUAGAGUGAUCGAAAGAUGAAAAGCACUUUGAAAAGAGGGUUAAAUAGUACGUGAAAUUGUUGAAAGGGAAGCGCUCAUGACCAGACUUGGGCCCGGUGAAUCAUCCAGCGCUCGUCGCUGGUGCACUUUGCCGGGCUCAGGCCAGCAUCAGUUCGCUCCGGGGGACAAAGGCUCUGGGAAUGUGGCUCCUCCGGGAGUGUUAUAGCCCACUGCGCAAUACCCUGGGGCGGACUGAGGUUCGCGCAUUCGUGCAAGGAUGCUGGCGUAAUGGUCAUCAGUGACCCGU